UGGCUGUAGCCAAAUCAAAUUUUGAGAAGUUUACUGGCUGGCCACUGUGAGACUUCUGUAAAUCUUUGUCUAUGGAUCUGCUUACCAAGCUUCUCACAUUU
rnacentral:snoRNA from 1 species